rnacentral:rRNA from 1 species
GAUGAACGCUGGCGGCGUGCCUAAUACAUGCAAGUCGAGCGAACAGACGAGGAGCUUGCUCCUCUGACGUUAGCGGCGGACGGGUGAGUAACACGUGGAUAACCUACCUAUAAGACUGGGAUAACUUCGGGAAACCGGAGCUAAUACCGGAUAAUAUAUUGAACCGCAUGGUUCAAUAGUGAAAGACGGUUUUGCUGUAACUUAUAGAUGGAUCCGCGCCGCAUUAGCGAGUUGGUAAGGAAACGGCUUACAAAGGCAACGAUGCGUAGCCGACCUGAGAGGGUGGUCCGCCACACUGGAACUUAGACACCGUCCAGACUCCUACGGGAGGCAGCAGUAGGGAAUCUUCCGCAAAGGGCGAAAGCCUGACGGAGCAACGCCGCGUGAGUGAUGAAGGUCUUCGGAUCGUAAAACUCUGUUAUUAGGGAAGAACAAAUGUGUAAGUAACUAUGCACGUCUUGACGGUUCCUAAUCAGAAAGCCACGGCUAACUACGUG